GAUGAACGCUGGCGGCGUGCCUAAUACAUGCAAGUCGAGCGAACAGACGAGGAGCUUGCUCCUCUGACGUUAGCGGCGGACGGGUGAGUAACACGUGGAUAACCUACCUAUAAGACUGGGAUAACUUCGGGAAACCGGAGCUAAUACCGGAUAAUAUAUUGAACCGCAUGGUUCAAUAGUGAAAGACGGUUUUGCUGUCACUUAUAGAUGGAUCCGCGCCGCAUUAGCUAGUUGGUAAGGUAACGGCUUACCAAGGCAACGAUGCGUAGCCGACCUGAGAGGGUGAUCGGCCACACUGGAACUGAGACACGGUCCAGACUCCUAAGGGAGGCAGCAGUAGGGAAUCUUCCGCAAUGGGCGAAAGCCUGACGGAGCAACGCCGCGUGAGUGAUGAAGGUCUUCGGAUCGUAAAACUCUGUUAUUAGGGAAGAACAAAUGUGUAAGUAACUGUGCACGUCUUGACGGUACCUAAUCAGAAAGCCACGGCUAACUACGUG
rnacentral:rRNA from 1 species